UGUUCAGUAGCUCAGUUGGUAGAGCGGCUGCCAUUUAGGGCGGCAGGUCGUGGGUUCGAGACCCACUUGGACGU
rnacentral:tRNA from 1 species